AUUGAACGCUGGCGGCAGGCCUAACACAUGCAAGUCGAGCGGAGCGGCGGACGGGUGAGUAAUGACUAGGAAUCUGCCUGGUAGUGGGGGAUAACGUCCGGAAACGGGAGCUAAUACCACAUACUAUUAGAUGAGCCUAGGUGUGAUUAGCUAGUUGGUGGGGUAAAGGCCUACCAAGGCGACGACCCGUAACUGGUCUGAGAGGAUGAUCAGUCACACUGGAACUGAGACACGGUCCAGACUCCUACGGGAGGCAGCAGUGGGGAAUAUUGGACAAUGGGCGAAAGCCUGAUCCAGCCAUGCCGCGUGUGUGAAGAAGGUCUUCGGAUUGUAAAGCACUUUAAGUUAGGAGGCGUUACCAACAGAAUAAGCACCGGCUAACUUCGUGCCAGCAGCCGCGGUAAUUC
rnacentral:rRNA from 1 species